GGUAAGAUGGCCGAGUGGUUAAGGUAAGUCGUGUUUGCACUACUUAUUUACACAGUUCUAGUGCUAACAUUGGCCAAUUAGGCGGCAGAUUUAAGGAGGCAAUUUUUGCCAAAUUCCCUGCUGACGAGAGUCACCUGGGUUCGAACCCCAGUCUUACCA
rfam:Talaromyces stipitatus ATCC 10500 scf_1105507295541 genomic scaffold, whole genome shotgun sequence.